UACGUAGGGUGCAAGCGUUAAUCGGAAUUACUGGGCGUAAAGCGUGCGCAGGCGGUUAUGUAAGACAGGUGUGAAAUCCCCGGGCUAACCUGGGAACUGCAUUUGUGACUGCAUAGCUAGAGUACGGUAGAGGGGGAUGGAAUUCCGCGUGUAGCAGUGAAAUGCGUAGAUAUGCGGAGGAACACCGAUGGCGAAGGCAAUCCCCUGGACCUGUACUGACGCUCAUGCACGAAAGCGUGGGGAGCAAACAGG
rnacentral:rRNA from 1 species